rnacentral:rRNA from 1 species
AGGGCGCACGGUGGAUGCCUUGGCACUAGAAGCCGAUGAAGGACGUUACUAACGACGAUAUGCUUUGGGGAGCUGUAAGUAAGCUUUGAUCCAGAGAUUUCCGAAUGGGGAAACCCAGCAUGAGUUAUGUCAUGUUAUCGAUAUGUGAAUACAUAGCAUAUCAGAAGGCACACCCGGAGAACUGAAACAUCUUAGUACCCGGAGGAAGAGAAAGAAAAUUCGAUUCCCUUAGUAGCGGCGAGCGAAACGGGAAGAGCCCAAACCAACAAGCUUGCUUGUUGGGGUUGUAGGACACUCUAUACGGAGUUACAAAGGACGACAUUAGACGAAUCAUCUGGAAAGAUGAAUCAAAGAAGGUAAUAAUCCUGUAGUCGAAAAUGUUGUCUCUCUUGAGUGGAUCCUGAGUACGACGGAGCACGUGAAAUUCCGUCGGAAUCUGGGAGGACCAUCUCCUAAGGCUAAAUACUCUCUAGUGACCGAUAGUGAACCAGUACCGUGAGGGAAAGGUGAAAAGCACCCCGGAAGGGGAGUGAAAUAGAACCUGAAACCGUGUGCUUACAAGUAGUCAGAGCCCGUUAAUGGGUGAUGGCGUGCCUUUUGUAGAAUGAACCGGCGAGUUACGAUUUGAUGCAAGGUUAAGCAGUAAAUGUGGAGCCGUAGCGAAAGCGAGUCUGAAUAGGGCGUUUAGUAUUUGGUCGUAGACCCGAAACCAGGUGAUCUACCCUUGGUCAGGUUGAAGUUCAGGUAACACUGAAUGGAGGACCGAACCGACUUACGUUGAAAAGUGAGCGGAUGAACUGAGGGUAGCGGAGAAAUUCCAAUCGAACCUGGAGAUAGCUGGUUCUCUCCGAAAUAGCUUUAGGGCUAGCCUCAAGUGAUGAUUAUUGGAGGUAGAGCACUGUUUGGACGAGGGGCCCCUCUCGGGUUACCGAAUUCAGACAAACUCCGAAUGCCAAUUAAUUUAACUUGGGAGUCAGAACAUGGGUGAUAAGGUCCGUGUUCGAAAGGGAAACAGCCCAGACCACCAGCUAAGGUCCCAAAAUAUAUGUUAAGUGGAAAAGGAUGUGGCGUUGCCCAGACAACUAGGAUGUUGGCUUAGAAGCAGCCAUCAUUUAAAGAGUGCGUAAUAGCUCACUAGUCGAGUGACACUGCGCCGAAAAUGUACCGGGGCUAAACAUAUUACCGAAGCUGUGGAUUGUCCUUUGGACAAUGGUAGGAGAGCGUUCUAAGGGCGUUGAAGCAUGAUCGUAAGGACAUGUGGAGCGCUUAGAAGUGAGAAUGCCGGUGUGAGUAGCGAAAGACGGGUGAGAAUCCCGUCCACCGAUUGACUAAGGUUUCCAGAGGAAGGCUCGUCCGCUCUGGGUUAGUCGGGUCCUAAGCUGAGGCCGACAGGCGUAGGCGAUGGAUAACAGGUUGAUAUUCCUGUACCACCUAUAAUCGUUUUAAUCGAUGGGGGGACGCAGUAGGAUAGGCGAAGCGUGCGAUUGGAUUGCACGUCUAAGCAGUAAGGCUGAGUAUUAGGCAAAUCCGGUACUCGUUAAGGCUGAGCUGUGAUGGGGAGAAGACAUUGUGUCUUCGAGUCGUUGAUUUCACACUGCCGAGAAAAGCCUCUAGAUAGAAAAUAGGUGCCCGUACCGCAAACCGACACAGGUAGUCAAGAUGAGAAUUCUAAGGUGAGCGAGCGAACUCUCGUUAAGGAACUCGGCAAAAUGACCCCGUAACUUCGGGAGAAGGGGUGCUCUUUAGGGUUAACGCCCAGAAGAGCCGCAGUGAAUAGGCCCAAGCGACUGUUUAUCAAAAACACAGGUCUCUGCUAAACCGUAAGGUGAUGUAUAGGGGCUGACGCCUGCCCGGUGCUGGAAGGUUAAGAGGAGUGGUUAGCUUCUGCGAAGCUACGAAUCGAAGCCCCAGUAAACGGCGGCCGUAACUAUAACGGUCCUAAGGUAGCGAAAUUCCUUGUCGGGUAAGUUCCGACCCGCACGAAAGGCGUAACGAUUUGGGCACUGUCUCAACGAGAGACUCGGUGAAAUCAUAGUACCUGUGAAGAUGCAGGUUACCCGCGACAGGACGGAAAGACCCCGUGGAGCUUUACUGUAGCCUGAUAUUGAAAUUCGGCACAGCUUGUACAGGAUAGGUAGGAGCCUUUGAAACGUGAGCGCUAGCUUACGUGGAGGCGCUGGUGGGAUACUACCCUAGCUGUGUUGGCUUUCUAACCCGCACCACUUAUCGUGGUGGGAGACAGUGUCAGGCGGGCAGUUUGACUGGGGCGGUCGCCUCCUAAAAGGUAACGGAGGCGCUCAAAGGUUCCCUCAGAAUGGUUGGAAAUCAUUCAUAGAGUGUAAAGGCAUAAGGGAGCUUGACUGCGAGACCUACAAGUCGAGCAGGGUCGAAAGACGGACUUAGUGAUCCGGUGGUUCCGCAUGGAAGGGCCAUCGCUCAACGGAUAAAAGCUACCCCGGGGAUAACAGGCUUAUCUCCCCCAAGAGUUCACAUCGACGGGGAGGUUUGGCACCUCGAUGUCGGCUCAUCGCAUCCUGGGGCUGUAGUCGGUCCCAAGGGUUGGGCUGUUCGCCCAUUAAAGCGGUACGCGAGCUGGGUUCAGAACGUCGUGAGACAGUUCGGUCCCUAUCCGUCGUGGGCGUAGGAAAUUUGAGAGGAGCUGUCCUUAGUACGAGAGGACCGGGAUGGACAUACCUCUGGUGUACCAGUUGUCGUGCCAACGGCAUAGCUGGGUAGCUAUGUAUGGACGGGAUAAGUGCUGAAAGCAUCUAAGCAUGAAGCCCCCCUCAAGAUGAGAUUUCCCAACUUCGGUUAU